rnacentral:tRNA from 1 species
GUGACAGUAGCUCAGUUGGCCAGAGUGUCACCUUGCCAAGGUGAAAGCCGAGAGUUCGAAUCUCUCCUGUCGCU